AGUGAACGCUGGCGGUAGGCCUAACACAUGCAAGUCGAACGGCAGCACAGUAAGAGCUUGCUCUUACGGGUGGCGAGUGGCGGACGGGUGAGGAAUACAUCGGAAUCUACUUUUUCGUGGGGGAUAACGUAGGGAAACUUACGCUAAUACCGCAUACGACCUACGGGUGAAAGCAGGGGAUCUUCGGACCUUGCGCGAUUGAAUGGGCCGAUGUCGGAUUAGCUAGUUGGCGGGGUAAAGGCCCACCAAGGCUACGAUCCGUAGCUGGUCUGAGAGGAUGAUCAGCCACACUGGAACUGAGACACGGUCCAGACUCCUACGGGAGGCAGCAGUGGGGAAUAUUGGACAAUGGGCGCAAGCCUGAUCCAGCCAUGCCGCGUGGGUGAAGAAGGCCUUCGGGUUGUAAAGCCCUUUUGUUAGGAAAGAAAAGCAGCAGGUUAAUACCCCGCGGUUCUGACGGUACCCAAAGAAUAAGCACCGGCUAACUUCGUG
rnacentral:rRNA from 1 species